rnacentral:rRNA from 1 species
UACGUAGGUGACCAGCGUUGUCCGGAUUUACUGGGCGUAAAGAGCUCGUAGGCGGUUUGUCGCGUCUGCUGUGAAAACUCGGGGCUUAACCCCGGGCCUGCAGUGGGUACGGGCAGACUAGAGUGCGAUAGGGGAGACUGGAAUUCCUGGUGUAGCGGUGAAAUGCGCAGAUAUCAGGAAGAACACCUAUGGCGAAGGCAGCUCUCUGGGACGGUACUGACGCUGAGACGCGAAAGCGUGGGGAGCGAACAGG